UACGUAGGGACCAAGCGUUGUUCGGAUUUACUGGGCGUAAAGGGCGCGUAGGCGGCGCGGUAAGUCACUUGUGAAAUCUCUGAGCUUAACUCAGAACGGCCAAGUGAUACUGCAGUGCUAGAGUGUGGAAGGGGCAAUCGGAAUUCUUGGUGUAGCGGUGAAAUGCGUAGAUAUCAAGAGGAACACCUGAGGUGAAGACGGGUUGCUGGGCCAACACGUGACGCUGAUGCGCGAAAGCCAGGGGAGCAAACGGGAUUAGA
rnacentral:rRNA from 1 species